rnacentral:rRNA from 1 species
UACGUAGGGUGCAAGCGUUGUCCGGAAUUAUUGGGCGUAAAGAGCUCGUAGGCGGUUUGUCGCGUCUGCUGUGAAAUCCCGAGGCUCAACCUCGGGCCUGCAGUGGGUACGGGCAGACUAGAGUGCGGUAGGGGAGAUUGGAAUUCCUGGUGUAGCGGUGGAAUGCGCAGAUAUCAGGAGGAACACCGAUGGCGAAGGCAGAUCUCUGGGCCGUAACUGACGCUGAGGAGCGAAAAGCAUGGGGAGCGAACAGG